rnacentral:rRNA from 1 species
GCACAAGCCGGUGGAGCAUGUGGUUUAAUUCGAAGCAACGCGCAGAACCUUACCAUCCCUUGACAUGGAUGUAUCCGGAGAGAUCCGGGGUCCACUUCGGUGGCGUGCACACAGGUGCUGCAUGGCUGUCGUCAGCUCGUGUCGUGAGAUGUUGGGUUAAGUCCCGCAACGAGCGCAACCCACGUCCUUAGUUGCCAUCAUUUAGUUGGGCACUCUAGGGAGACUGCCGGUGAUAAGCCGCGAGGAAGGUGUGGAUGACGUCAAGUCCUCAUGGCCCUUACGGGAUGGGCUACACACGUGCUACAAUAGGCGGUGACAGUGGGACGCGAAGGAGCGAUCUGGAGCAAAUCCCCAAAAACCGUCUCAGUUCAGAUUGCACUCUGCAACUCGAGUGCAUGAAGGCGGAAUCGCUAGUAAUCGUGGAUCAGCAUGCCACGGUGAAUACGUUCCCGGGC